GAGAGAGAGAGAGAGAGAGAGAGAUGGCGUCCGCUUGAGUUAUGUGGAUCCAGUACGCAGUUUGCUACUUUAUUUAUAUUAGCUGGUGUAUCUGGAUAUGGAGAAACAAGCACAUUUUAAUAACCAAAGUUCAAUCAUCUGAGGGUGCCUUUUUGAUCAUAUGGAAUACCGUGAGGAACUGGAGUAGAGUCCAGGGAAGAUUGGUGGUGCUGGCGGUAUUAUGAGAAAUUUUACUGGUAAUUGGACCAAAGGCUUCUAAUUUAAUCCCGGCAACGGAGACAUUUUGAAUGCAGAAGCUUGAGGAUUGUUUUAUGGCCUGAAAUUUGUUGUUGAUUGUAAAAUAAACAGUGGAGAUUGAAGCUGGUUCCUCCAUUCUGGUAAAGCUGAUGCAGGACUACAAUCUUGA